GAUGAACGCUGGCGGCGUGCCUAAUACAUGCAAGUCGAGCGAAGAGGGGACGGGUGAGUAACACGUGGAUAACCCCCUAUAAGAAUGGGAUAACUUCGGGAAAACGGAGCUAAAACGGAUAAUGAUAGCAGGAUGGGCGAUGCAUUAGCUAGUUGGUAAGGUAACGGAUUACCAAGGCGACGAUGCAUAGCCGACCUGAGAGGGUGAUCGGCCACACUGGAACUGAGACACGGUCCAGACUCCUACGGGAGGCAGCAGUAGGGAAUCUUCCGCAAUGGGCGAAAGCCUGACGGAGCAAUGCCGCGUGUGUGAUGAAGGGCUUCGGAUUGUAAAACUCUGUUAGUAGGGAAGCGUUACCUAAUCAGAAAGCCACGGCUAACUACGUGCCAGCAGCCGCGGUAAUUC
rnacentral:rRNA from 1 species